rnacentral:rRNA from 1 species
GUAGGUGGCAAGCGUUGUCCGGAAUUAUUGGGCGUAAAGCGCGCGCAGGCGGUCCUUUAAGUCUGAUGUGAAAGCCCACGGCUCAACCGUGGAGGGUCAUUGGAAACUGGGGGACUUGAGUACAGAAGAGGAAAGCGGAAUUCCAAGUGUAGCGGUGAAAUGCCUAGAGAUUUGGAGGAACACCAGUGGCGAAGGCGGCUUUCUGGUCUGUAACUGACGCUGAGGCGCGAAAGCGUGGGGAGCAAACAGGGAUUAGAUACCCUGGUAGUCCACGCCGUAAACGAUGAGUGCUAAGUGUUAGGGGGUUUCCCGCCCCUUAGUGCUGCAGCUAACGCAUUAAGCACUCGCCUGGGGAUACGGCCGCAAGGCUG